rnacentral:rRNA from 1 species
GAUCCUGGCUCAGGAUGAACGCUAGCUACAGGCUUAACACAUGCAAGUCGAGGGGAAACGACAUCGAAAGCUUGCUUCCGAUGGGCGUCGACCGGCGCACGGGUGAGUAACGCGUAUCCAACCUGCCCACCACUUGGGGGAUAACCUUGCGAAAGUAAGACUAAUACCCAACUGAUAUCUCUAGAAGACAUCUGAAAGAAGAUUAAAGAAUUUAAUUCGGUUGGAUGGAUGGGGAGUGCGUCUGAUUAG